GCGCCGUUAGCUGAGCUGGGAUAGCACCAGACUCUUAAUCUGGGGACGGGGGAUCGAAACCCUCACGGCGCACCA
rnacentral:tRNA from 1 species